CCUCAUCCUUCAGCAAACCACCAAACCUGGCUUUGAGAUCAUCCACGACGAUGUUGAUGGCCACCUCCAUGUGCUGCUGGAGAUUGGUGAGCUCUCAUCCUAACACACCUGGAAUCUCCUCUCAUCACCCUGCUGCUGAGCAAGCAUGGUCUGGAUCUUCUCCAGCAUGCCUCCUGCCUCCUGCUUUUGCCCUAAGCUUUAGAGCUUCCAGUCUGGUCACUGUUUUCAAAUCUCACUUGGCUUGGGGGAGGAUCAGGUCAUUCCUUUUCAGGGUGAGGCUAAGUGAGGAUAGCUCCUCAAACAUGUCUGAGGGAAAAUGGCAGAAUACACAAGAGUGCAUUCUCCAUUUCCCACUUUAUCUGUUAAGUAGUGAGUAAAUAAACUGUCACCUGUCAA